rnacentral:rRNA from 1 species
UACGUAGGGUGCAAGCGUUGUCCGGAAUUAUUGGGCGUAAAGAGCUCGUAGGCGGUUUGUCACGUCGGAUGUGAAACCCCGGGGCUCAACCCCGGGCCUGCAUUCGAUACGGGCAGACUAGAGUUCGGCAGGGGAGACUGGAAUUCCUGGUGUAGCGGUGAAAUGCGCAGAUAUCAGGAGGAACACCGGUGGCGAAGGCGGUUCUCUGGGCCUUACCUGACGCUGAGGAGCGAAAGCGUGGGGAGCAAACAGG